GGCCUCGUAGCUCAGUUGGCUAGAGCGUUGGCUGUACUGAAGCCUUCCCCUUGCUGGCGUGGGUUCAAAUCACACAGAGGCUG
rnacentral:tRNA from 1 species